rnacentral:rRNA from 1 species
GACGAACGCUGGCGGCGUGCUUAACACAUGCAAGUCGAACGGAAAGGCCCUGCUUUUGUGGGGUGCUCGAGUGGCGAACGGGUGAGUAACACGUGAGUAACCUGCCCUUGACUUUGGGAUAACUUCAGGAAACUGUGGCUAAUACCGGAUAGGAGCUCCUGCUGCAUGGUGGUGGUUGGAAAGUUUCGGCGGUUGGGGAUGGACUCGCGGCUUAUCAGCUUGUUGGUGGGGUAGUGGCUUACCAAGGCUUUGACGGGUAGCCGGCCUGAGAGGGUGACCGGCAACAUUGGGACGGGGAAACGGCCCAGCCUCCUCCGGGAGGAAGCAGUGGGGAAUAUUGCAAAAUGGGCGGAGGCCUGAUGAAGCAACGCCGGGUGGGGGAUAACGGCCUUGGGGUGGUAAACCGCUUUAGCAUGUGACGAAGCGUGAGUGACGGUAAUGGGUAAAGAAGCACCGGCUAACUACGUG